rnacentral:rRNA from 1 species
GUCAUGGCUCAGGAUGAACGCUGGCGGCGUGCUUAACACAUGCAAGUCGAACGGACUUUGCUUGAAGCCUAGCGAAAGUAAAGUUAGUGGCGGACGGGUGAGUAACGCGUGGGUAACCUGCCCUAUACUGGGGGACAACAGUUGGAAACGACUGCUAAUACCGCAUAAGCACACAGUAUCGCAUGAUACCGUGUGAAAAACUCCGGUGGUAUAGGAUGGACCCGCGUCUGAUUAGCUAGUUGGUGAGGUAACGGCCCACCAAGGCGACGAUCAGUAGCCGGCCUGAGAGGGUGAACGGCCACAUUGGGACUGAGACACGGCCCAAACUCCUACGGGAGGCAGCAGUGGGGAAUAUUGCACAAUGGGGGAAACCCUGAUGCAGCGACGCCGCGUGAGUGAAGAAGUAUUUCGGUAUGUAAAGCUCUAUCAGCAGGGAAGAAAAUGACGGUACCUGACUAAGAAGCCCCGGCUAACUACGUG